rnacentral:lncRNA from 1 species
GAAAAAAUAAGUGGAAGAGUGGAAUAAGCACUGAUAACUUUCUCAUCAGGAGGAGAAGAGCAUCUCUCCACUUCUCUAAGAAGCCAAGCCUGGGGUGUGCACUCUCUCUGAAUGGGUUCUAAUGGCCCCU